GUAAUACAUGGGAAUCUGCCUGGUAGUGGGGGACAACGUUUCGAAAGGAACGCUAAUACCGCAUACGCCCUACGGGGGAAAGGGGGGGAUCUUCGGACCUCUCGCUAUCAGAUGAGCCCAUGUCGGAUUAGCUUGUUGGUGGGGUAAAGGCUCACCAAGGCGACGAUCCGUAACUGGUCUGAGAGGAUGAUCAGUCACACUGGAACUGAGACACGGUCCAGACUCCUACGGGAGGCAGCAGUGGGGAAUAUUGGACAAUGGGCGCAAGCCUGAUCCAGCCAUGCCGCGUGUGUGAAGAAGGCCUUAGGGUUGUAAAGCACUUUCAGUGGGGAGAAAGGUCAUUCACCUAAUACGUGAGUGAAUUGAUGUACCCACAGAAGAGC
rnacentral:rRNA from 1 species